AUUGAACGCUGGCGGCAUGCCUUACACAUGCAAGUCGAACGGUAACAGGUCUUCGGACGCUGACGAGUGGCGAACGGGUGAGUAAUACAUCGGAACGUGCCCGAUCGUGGGGGAUAACGAGGCGAAAGCUUUGCUAAUACCGCAUACGAUCUACGGAUGAAAGCGGGGGAUCUUCGGACCUCGCGCGGGCGGAGCGGCCGAUGGCAGAUUAGGUAGUUGGUGGGAUAAAAGCUUACCAAGCCGACGAUCUGUAGCUGGUCUGAGAGGAUGAUCAGCCACACUGGGACUGAGACACGGCCCAGACUCCUACGGGAGGCAGCAGUGGGGAAUUUUGGACAAUGGGCGAAAGCCUGAUCCAGCCAUGCCGCGUGCAGGAUGAAGGCCUUUGGGUUGUAAACUGCUUUUGUACGGAACGAAAAGCCUCUUUCUAAUAAAGAGGGGUCAUGACGGUACCGUAAGAAUAAGCACCGGCUAACUACGUG
rnacentral:rRNA from 1 species